GACGAACGCUGGCGGCGUGCCUAAUACAUGCAAGUAGGACGCACAGUUUAUACCGUAGCUUGCUACACCAUAGACUGUGAGUUGCGAACGGGUGAGUAACGCGUAGGUAACCUGCCUGGUAGCGGGGGAUAACUAUUGGAAACGAUAGCUAAUACCGCAUAAUAUUAAUUAUUGCAUGAUAAUUAAUUGAAAGGUGCAAUUGCACCACUACCAGAUGGACCUGCGUUGUACUAGCUAGUAGGUGAGGUAACGGCUCACCUAGGCGACGAUACAUAGCCGACCUGAGAGGGUGAUCGGCCACACUGGGACUGAGACACGGCCCAGACUCCUACGGGAGGCAGCAGUAGGGAAUCUUCGGCAAUGGACGAAAGUCUGACCGAGCAACGCCGCGUGAGUGAAGAAGGUUUUCGGAUCGUAAAGCUCUGUUGUAAGAGAAGAACGGGUGUGAGAGUGGAAAGUUCACACUGUGACGGUAUCUUACCAGAAAGGGACGGCUAACUACGUG
rnacentral:rRNA from 1 species